rnacentral:tRNA from 31 species
GCCCAAGUGGUGGAAUUGGUAGACACGCUAUCUUGAGGGGGUAGUGGCGUAAGCCGUGCCGGUUCAAGUCCGGCCUUGGGCACCA